rnacentral:rRNA from 1 species
UACGGGGGGGCAAGCGUUGUUCGGAAUUACUGGGCGUAAAGGGCUUGUAGGUGGCCAACUAAGUCAGACGUGAAAUCCCUCGGCUUAACCGGGGAACUGCGUCUGAUACUGGAUGGCUGGAGUGUGGGAGAGGGAUGCGGAAUUCCAGGUGUAGCGGUGAAAUGCGUAGAUAUCUGGAGGAACACCGGUGGCGAAGGCGGCAUCCUGGACCAUUACUGACACUGAAAAGCGAAAGCCAGGGGAGCAAACGGG